UUUGUGCCCGCAGCCUCUCUCUCUCUCGACCCUCUCUUCCUCUAAGAACCUAACCACAAUUUCUUGAAUCCAGCCCCAAUUGUAUCAAAACUUUGGGCAAUCGAAUCCCAAAAACACGAUCUAGUGAUCUACGCAAGAUGAGAACCUCACCAACAUAAGUUUCAACCCAAUAUCAUUUGAUUUUUGAAAUCCCCAAAUCCUUCGACCCAACCCUAGAUCAGCUGCUUGUUUGAACUUUGAAGUGGUUGCUCAGAGGCUUAUAAGGUGUUGAAGUGGUGGCUCAGAGCACAAAAAAUUCGGAAAGUCCUUUGAAGCUUCAACGUAUUGACCAUGGAUUUCAGUUGAGAGUUUAUUAGUUUAUGUAGAGGCAGAGAGGUGAUCGAGGUCUUUGAUUAGUAUGUGAUUAUGGCAACUGUUGCGCUGCAUUUGGGAGGUGCAAACUCUUCUACAACAACUGCUGUAUGAAGAUUUGGAUGCUGCAAACUAUUGGUGCUGAAGCCUGAAGAUAUAGCUGCUUGUUUUUUGUCAAGUGAUUGAAGUCAUCAAAUCAGUGAAUCAGAAGCAGAUUUUUGUUUAUUUGUACUUCCUAUUAUGAAGUUAUGUAAUUUAAGUAGGUUUAGACUUUGAAAUCAGAAUUGCACAUGAUUUCUAAACUUGUAUUCUUGAUUUCUUGUAAUGUGGAAUUGGAAAAAGGCUAAAAUAGAGAAACACCAAGUCUACAACUCACAUCUCUAUAAGAAGGU
rnacentral:lncRNA from 1 species